CAGGAACCACCAGAAGCUAGGAGAGAGGCAUGGAGCAGAUUUUCCCUCUGCCCCCCCAAAAGCAACAACUCUGCUGACACCUUGAUUUUGGACUUCUGCUCUCUUGAACUAUUCUCCCAGACACGAAGGACAGACAGCCCACCCUGCCUGUGGACACGACAUGAGGGAUAAGCCUUCCAAUGUUUUUCUUGUUAACUGAAGAGGAGGAGCCAUCCACAUGCGAAUCAUUGAGCCGCACAACUUGAAUGAUGCUGCCCUGCUCUGGGGAGGCAGAAAAAUCCAACAGCCGGAGGCAUUUUGGAAUAUUUGAGAGAAAAAGGGGUUGUAGUUUUACUGACUGUGAAGCUUAACGUGAUGAGGUAUGGAGGGAAGCAGAAGUUGUGAAUGAAUGCCUGUGAAACCUGAAAAGAACGGAUUUUACAAUGGUUGCAUGAAAAAGAGCAACAAAGUAGGCUCCAUGCCCAGUGCAGAGCCCAGUGUGGAGCUUAAACUCAGGACCCUGAGAUCAAGACCU